AUUAAUCCUCCUGAUGAUUAAUCCUCCUUCCAUCCCUAUCAAUCUCACCUGUUUACAGCUCAAUAGUGCCACACACAGAAACCUUGUGAAAACGAGACAAUGCGUUUCAGGAGCCUUCGCCUCACUCCCUGUUCCUCCUGCAGCAUGAGACUGCGCUUAUUAAUGCCAGGGAUAAUUACAGCUGUGACAACGGGUUAUCCACAACUGCCCGUGGGGGAUGAGUGAACAUUGUUGCCAACAGGGGCCAGAGGGGAGGAGGAGGAAGAGACUGCGUAGAGGAAGAGCAUCGCCCUGGCAGCAGCUGCCAGUUCCCACACCAGAGGUGGAAAUUGAUUCUGAUGAGCACUGCUUGCAGAGGGAAGCUCUGGGAGCCUCCAUCACCCUCCACCCACCUGCUGCAGCAGGACCAAAGGUGUGCAAAACCUGAGUUACAUGGAAAUUGCAGCUCACCAUCAGCCUUGGCAAACCACCCUCCACCUCCCGCCCCACUGCCCUUCCACCAGCUCCAAAGGCAGCCGGUGUAGGCAGGGCCACAGAGCAGGGAUGUGCUGGACGUAGGCAGACCUCUGAGCUGUGGGAUCGCCACACUCCUCCCGUGCCGGUCCACCCGCAUUGCUGCCCUGGUGCAACCUCUUGUCAUGGUGUGUGUGUUUCGCAUGGGUUACGCAAUGUGGGCAGGCCGAGAGCAAACAGAGCUGGUACACAGGUGUAGUUCCGUGUAACUGCUUCACGCAGUGAGUGGGCUGUAAGCAGGUGUCGAGCAGAAAGAGCUUCCAGCCCUCCCAGGCCGAUGGGCACACGGGUCCCAUAAAUUUCCCCAGCCUUCAGGAUAGCAAGAAAUCGACGAGCAUCCAAGCAUCCCAAGCAUCUUCUUGGUUCAAACAUCUCAUUGGAAAGUAACUUAAUGCAGAACUUCA